UACGGAGGGUGCGAGCGUUGUCCGGAAUCAUUGGGCGUAAAGGGCGCGUAGGUGGCCCGGUGAGUCUUUGGUGAAAGCGCGGGGCUCAACCCUGCGUCGGCCAGGGAUACUGCCGCGGCUCGAGCACUGUAGAGGCAGGCGGAAUUCCGGGUGUAGCGGCGGAAUGCGUAGAGAUCCGGAAGAACACCGGUGGCGAAGGCGGCCUGCUGGGCAGUGGCUGACGCUGAGGCGCGACAGCGUGGGGAGCAAACAGGAUUGAGAGUACC
rnacentral:rRNA from 1 species